AUUGAACGCUGGCGGCAGGCCUAACACAUGCAAGUCGAGCGGAUGAAGGGAGCUUGCUCCUGGAUUCAGCGGCGGACGGGUGAGUAAUGCCUAGGAAUCUGCCUGGUAGGGGGGAAUAACGUCCGUAAACGGGCGCUAAUACCGCAUACGUCCUGAGGGAGAAAGGGUGGGAUCUUCGUACCUCACGCUAUCGGAUGAGCCUAGGUCGGAUUAGCUAGUUGGUGGGGUAAAGGCCUACCAAGGCGACGAUCCGUAACUGGUCUGAGAGGAUGAUCAGUCACACUGGAAGUGAGACACGGUCCAGACUCCUGCGGGAGGCAGCAGUGGGGAAUAUUGGACGAUGGGCGAAAGCCUGAUACAGCCAUGCCGCGUGUGUGAAGAAGGUCUUCGGAUUGUAAAGCACUUUAAGUUGGGAGGAAGGGCAGUAAGUUAAUACCUUGAUGUUUUGACGUUACCAACAGAAUAAGCACCGGCUAACUUCGUG
rnacentral:rRNA from 1 species